rnacentral:lncRNA from 1 species
UGAGGAAGGAAUUUGUCUCAGUCCACUUCCACACCUGUCCACCUGAGCUGGGCGUUAGCCUGAGCCUUUGCCUCUGUAUGGAUCCCUGACUUUGAGUUUUAUGCAAUUUCUUGUAUAAAAGGAGAGCCUGAGUCCAUGGAAGUUGGGAUUGAACAUCCUGAAUAUGCAGUUCCUUGGAGAGCCACCAAGAAAAGACCUAAGCAAGAGACAUGAUGUCACCUUCGGGGAGGAGGCUCUUCAAGCUGUUUGGCAUGAGAAGAGGAGGAAUGAGGAGGAUCACUGGCCUUGAACCCCCAAAGAGAGGCUAGAGCACCUUUCUAGGACCCAGUCCAGGGUUUGUCUUGAACAUCCAGCUCCAAAAGAGAUGCUGUGCAGAUUCAAGCUGCCAAGUCCUGAAGGACCUGAGGGAAAACCCAACCCCAAGCAGCCCAGAUGGUAUCUGAGUAUCCUGUGCCCUACCCACGAAGAUCAGGAGCCUAAAGGCUAGAGCUCACUGCAGAACCAGACCAAAGACAGUUUAAGGGCCAUUGAGCCAAGCCUUCCUGACCUCCCAUGGAGAGG